rnacentral:lncRNA from 13 species
CAACGCAGACAAGAACAGAGGGCCUCAGGAGAGGGAAACAAAUAGCUUAUGAAAGAGCUGCAGAUCCAAGGACACAAAUGAAGUCCCCGGUCUUCUAGGUCAGUCUUUCUGCUAAUUGACAAACAAGGUUAAAACAAAUCCCAGCAUCUUAGUAGUGCUCUCUGCUCGGUUUCAGUAGCGGUAGUCCAAGGUAGAAUGGAUUCAGAACUCAGUGUGUUGGGGAGGUGGGGGCCGUGGGCAGGGAUUUGAGGAUUUGAAGGACCCAUCCAGGCGCAUGUGGCCAAUGGUUUGUCCGUAUUUAGAGCCAGCUCUACUUGUCUUAAAAACCAACCCAACCCCAAACCAGAAGCAAGGAGAGACUGGUGGCAAAGGACUCCUGGGCUUCAGCUGCCUGAUUUCCCUGGAGAGGAGGUUGUGGAGGUGGGGCUGCCAGUCCCUACAUCCCUAGCAGACCAACCUCUUCACGGGACCAUCCGGACCCUGUACACGUGGACCCUGGCCGUGUAGACACACCUGAGUCCAGGAACGACACAAGCCGCAGGGAUCCCAGCCUAGGCACGGAGGUAAUUAGGCACGUCUUCUCUGCUCCUGAAGUAAUGUUUAUUUGUCUUUCAAAUUCUGCCAACCAAAAUGGCUUAGGCUGUGAUUUACCAUCACACCAUUAUGUCAUACUUCCUUACUGCUUUUAUGACCAAGAAAGACUUCAGGCACAGUAGCCAUAUUAUGUCCUAGCGAACUCCUGCCCAAAUUGAGUCACUGUUUCUGG